rnacentral:rRNA from 1 species
GAUGAACGCUGGCGGCGUGCCUAAUACAUGCAAGUCGAGCGAACAGAUGAGGAGCUUGCUUCUCUGACGUUAGCGGCGGACGGGUGAGUAACACGUGGAUAACCUACCUAUAAGACUGGGAUAACUUCGGGAAACCGGAGCUAAUACCGGAUAAUAUAUUGAACCGCAUGGUUCAAUAGUGAAAGACGGUUUUGCUGUCACUUAUAGAUGGAUCCGCGCCGCAUUAGCUAGUUGGUAAGGUAACGGCUUACCAAGGCUACGAUGCGUAGCCGACCUGAGAGGGUGAUCAGGCACACUGGAACUGAGACACGGUCCAGACUCCUACGGGAGGCAGCAGUAGGGAAUAUUGCGCAAUGGGCGAAAGCCUGACCGAGCCACGCCGCGUGUGUGAAGAAGGUCUUCGGAUUGUAAAGCACUUUUAGUAGGGAAGAACAAAUGUGUAAGUAACUAUGCACGUCUUGACGGUACCUAAUCAGAAAGCCACGGCUAACUUCGUG